rnacentral:rRNA from 1 species
CAGGUGAUCAGGUAGAGAAUACCAAGGCGCUUGAGAGAACUGCGUUGAAGGAACUCGGCAAAUUGCACGCGUAACUUCGGAAGAAGCGUGACCCUCACUCACGCAAGUGGAUGAGGGUGGCACAGACCAGGGGGUAGCGACUGUUUAUCAAAAACACAGGGCUCUGCGAAGUCGCAAGACGACGUAUAGGGUCUGACGCCUGCCCGGUGCCUGAAGGUUAAAAGGAGGGGUGCAAGCUCUGAAUUGAAGCCCAGGUAAACGGCGGCCGUAACAAUAACGGUCCUAAGGUAGCGAA